CUGAGUAAACUUUCACUUGAGACUGGUGUGUCUGCAUUGGAAGCCAGAUGGAAAAGCUUCUGCUGGUGGCAAGAUACAGAAACUCCUGCUUUGACCUAAGAGAAUAAAAUGUAGUAUUAUAAAUGCAUUAGACUCAGAAUAACUUGAUGUAUCUAGAGAUCCAGUGCAAAUUACUGAAUUUUGAAGAUUAGCAAGUAAGGAGGAAACAGACAUGAUUAACAGUGAGGAUAAUGCAUUGCAAAACUAAUUUCAUUUAAUUUGACAAGCAUAGUUUGGUUUUAAUUUAUUCUGCUUCAUAAUGUCUUAGUAAAUGUACUGUAUUCUAUAAAAAUAAUGAAGUCUUAAUUUGAGACUUAAAUACAGAAUAUUCUCUGAGAAUUGGGGAGAGACUGCCAAUUUUGGAUUAAGUAUGCAGUUUAGCAAAGUAUUUGCUAAUGUACAUUAUGCCAGUUGGAGAUAUUUUUAUGUAGUGGUCCGUGUCACAAUUUAAAAAUACUCUUCAUUCUUCAGCUGACAGUCGGUGAGAAAAAAUGGGCCUCAUGUUGUUAAGAGCUCCUUUUGCUCUUCCUUUAGUUUUUUGGAUGGUUGUGUUUACCAUUUGGUAGAGACACAAUCACAUCUGAUCGACUCAAGAAUGUACAGUGUUUUCUGCAUUCAACACUGACAGAUGAUAAAGUAAGUGAUCAAAGUUAUAUCUUCAGACAAUGUAGGUAUCUUUAAUAAACCUUUUCACUUUCCCCUAAGAAAAAAAACCUGCAAGAAUUUUUAAAAUAAGUUAUUUGCUCCCUUGAAUUAUGCACUCCAUUCUGCCUUCUACCAAAACAAAACAAUGGUAAACCCUAAGGCUACAUUUAAUAGAAGUAAAGCUGCACUAUACAUUUUUCUUUUAGAUUUUAGCUUUUGUUUUCUCCCUUCCGAGGACUGCCACUCCUAAUGGAGUAGGAAAGUGGAAUCAGCCAUUAGAAACUUGGCAUUUUUCCCAAUAUACUACUUGUGUUCAAACUGCUUACUUUGUUUUAAAAUAACAUAGAAUGGAAAUAGUGUCCUAGUUACUGUGGUUGUGGAUAAUUACUAGAGUAAACCAACUCUUUGCACAGCACACAUUAAGUGUUACAAACCUGUAGCUGGUUUGGUGUGGGGACAUUUUAUUGGUCCACGGCUCACCUUUCAGACAAAAUAUAAUGAAUUAACAAAUCAUUUAACUGCUUGCCAGAUUAUUACUGCGCCACACUGAGUGGUAGUUUGAAACUCCAUUUCCAAGAACUGCAGUUCUGCUAUGUGAGUCCUUGACAUAUGGGGUCUCAAGGAGUUGGCUUCAUGCACAUGUUGUCCAUCUGACUGAAGGUGUAUCUAGCACUUUUUGACUAUAUAUUAGGGUGAUUUUUCAGUUACAGGCAGAGGGAGUAUCUCUUGAAGCAGUAAGGGCACUGACUCCACACCACUUGUUAAAAUAAUUAUGAAAAAUAAAAAUACAUAUCUAAGGCCUAACCUCCUAUAAGACCCAUUAUCUCUCAUUCUUGUGUUUUUAUAACCAUUUUUGCAUUUAAAAAGGAAUUAUGUGAGUAUGUUUCAACUGUACACUAAAAUAAGAGUAAUUUAUCUCAGAGUAUGGAAAAAUAUAAUAGUUAUUUCUUUUAUGGCCAAAUGCUGCUUCACACUUCUAUCUCUAGUAAGAUCCAAAAUGUAACAAAACUGUUGCAGUUUCACUAUGUGGGCUGCCAUGCAGAGAGACUGCGUUAUAUGUAAGACAAUGAACGGUGGAUCUGGCUCUUCUCUACAGGCCUGAAGGACUGUAGGCAAACUGUCCAUUGCCAAUGCUUCCACCAGCCAGAAUUCCCAUUUAGGUUGUGCAUGGAACUAUACCUGCACCUUCAUGUUAGACUGGCAGGAGGAGAAUUGUUUUUGCACUUGGCAUUGCUAGUAAGGUUCCCAUGUGCAAGGCCAUUUACUAGGGUUUUAGUCCAAGAGGGACCAGCAUUUGAGCCCUGGAGAAUAAAUUGCAGUAGGUAGUAUGUGUAGAAGCUCAUACAUUUAAUACAGGUAUGUUACAGUGUGUUUGAAAUAUUGGAUGGCUGUGUGAAUCCCAUCCACUGGAUUUAAAAUUUGUAUCAUUUAGGUUUUUAAAUGUUAAAGGAUCAGAAAUGCUUUAAAACUGCAGAUUUCUGUACCCGGGUUGAUUGAUUCUAAUGAGUGUCAUGCAUUGCUGUGUCAGUCUUAGUGACAAAUAGAACAAAUGCUAUUAAGCUCAACAGGAACUUGUUAUUGAUAGAAGCUGUCAUUAAGAGAAUGUUAAUGUUACGCAUUUAAGCACUCAGGUCAGGAAAUGAGUUAAGGAUGCACAUAUGCAUUCUGAUUGCAAGCACAGUGUAUGGAUGCUUAAUACAUUGUUCUAUACAAUUCCUCGAUUUCCCCCCUUCCCCCCAUAAUCUUAGGUGCACUUGUGUAGUAUCUUGUACUAUUUUUGUCAUUUGUAUAUAUUUAUUCUAUUUUCCAUGUUAUGGUGGUCCAGGUCAUCCUUGACUUAGACUUUUAUAUGGUACAUUCUUGCUUGUCUUAUCCAAACACAUGGCUUAUUUAGUCAGCAGCCAUAUCUUAUACAGUUUUUUUCAACCACUACACAUACAUCCUUGCAUAUAAUUCGUGAGGGUCAGGUAGUUAUGAAAUAUAUGUUAGCUAUGAAAUAUCUCAAGUAUCCCAGCAAAUUUUCUCUAUUGCUGUUGCACCUAAUUUGCAGUAUGCUUUGUGAAAAUGGUACUAUGAUGUAUCUACUUCUGAUAGAAAUGACUACUGGACUAUGUCUGGUACACACAGUACUACAAGAUACCACACGUAUAUCUAAGGCCUAGUCUACACUUGAAGCACUAUAGCGCAUCUGAAGAAUACGCUCUAUGCCAAUGGGAGAGAUCUCUCCCAUCAGCAUAAUAAAACCACCUCUGUGAGAGGCGGUAACUGUGUCGGCAGGAAAAGCUCUCCACUGACAUAGCGCUGUCCACACCAGUGCUUCGGUUGGUGUAAUUUAUGUCAUUUGUGGGGCGGCUUAUUUACAUGAGUGACAUAAGUUAUACCGACGUAAGUGGUAGCGUGUGUAAGCCCUAAAGUUGUAGAAAAGCUGUAUGUAUUGUAUCUGAGAAAGUCUAAUUAAAUGAUCAUAUAUUAUUAUGAUGCAUAGGUACAAGGGCCAGAAUUAAGGUUUUUACCUUGUAAUUUCCUGGUUUAUGACUGUUUAUCCAACUUUAACAGCCUCUAUUUUUUCUAGGUUUGCUUUAUUUAAAAAAAAAAAUCUAUAUUGCAGAAAUGACCUCACAUCAUCCAGAGUGUCUGAUCCCAUGCACCUUAGGAGGUCUUCAGGAGAGAGCCCUUCUCCCUGUAAACCUUAGUUGUGCAGCUUUUUACCUGUCAAGAUGCAGCGAAUGAGACAUGUCUCAUAAUUAAUGAAUUGGAGCAGGAAAUGUUUCAGAAUUAAAGGGCUCAACUAACAACAACAACAACAAAAAACAAACCACCCUAGCUUUCCUUUUUUUUCCAGACUAAUGUAUUUAGUUUGUGCUAGAAUACAAUUUAUUCAGCGUGCUGUAGCACAUAACUAGUACAGUAUGAUAUGAUAACAGUAUAAGUUGUUAGUGAUCAAGACAACUCUUAACUAUUUUUAAUCCUCCAGCUCCCCUUCUUUAUGCCCAUAAAAGUUAGUCUUGAGGAAAUAACUUAUUACAACUGUAAUACCAAAACAAAUGGGAAGAGGCAGAAGCAAAAUCCCAGACUGGGGCUUUAUAGAUUCAACACUUUGAAAUGCACCUGAAGUCAUAAGUCAGCAAGAUGCACUAGUUAUGUCUCACAUAUGUCUAAUCCACAAAGGCAAGCGGUUACGUUCUCCCCCAGGUGAAGUCUUUGCUUGGCUUUCAUGAAUCGCCCUAGGUAGAGCACAGUUCAGUAGUGUAGACUGGAAGUGACAAAAGUGGGUAUACAUGCAGUCAGAGGUGUGUAUAUUAAAAGCUGCAACCUCUUGUCUUGCUGUAGCUAAGACAUGUUGGUCUAUUAUUUUAACUAAGGGCAGAUAUAGCAUGUCCACUGUUUAAAAGGAGUGGAUAUAAUCCCUGCCAAUUUAUCCAGGUACUUCUCUCUACCACGCAGCAUUAACUUCAGCUCAUCCUUAUCCUUAUUCCUAUCUCUGUCACAUUUGGAAAGAGCAAACACAGUGGAAUCUGAGUUAGGCAAAAGAGUAUCAUGACCAUACUGAUGGGCAUGCAGCCCAAAACAACUCAACUUUCGCAGGUGGCCUCAUGUUUGUUGAAAAAGAAUACUGAUAACAUGGAAGUAGUGUUUUGGGCAGCUGAGUUGUUCAAUACAACCCUUUGAGAUUUACCCAAAAGGAAGGAAUAGUGCUACUAGAGAACAAGUGAGCCAAUGGUAUUGAAAUGGUGCUGAAAUAGUAUUGAAUGUGAUCCAAUAAAAUCAGUAGACCUCUAACCUUGGUAGUCUAUCACAUGAAGAUGUCAGUAUAAUUAUCUCUACAUACCCAGGCCUGAAACCAGACCAAUAGGAUCCAGUUGACUGCCCACCAUCUUCUCAGUAAUCAUUUCCGAAAUGGAAGGUCCAAGAUGGUUAAUUCACAAGUUGUCACCAAAAAAAAUCACCCUUUGAAGGUAUGUUUAAUAUUGUGUUUUAGAACUUGUCUCUUUGAGACAGAAACCAGACUUAGCCCUUUUCUUCAGGGUUUUGCAUAAAGUGUUACGUACCACAGAGAUCUCCAAAAUGCAACGUGAAGCCUGGCUAGUUUCCUCUUAUAUGACAAAUUGACCCUAGAGAAUGACAGGUUUCCUCUUUUAAUUCUCUGCUUAUGCAUACAUUGAUGUAUACCAAUGUGAACAUUCUGCCUUAUCAAACAAAGAUGAUAAUGAACAAAUUCAAAAGCAAUGAGCAAUAUAUAUUUUAUUGCAGCAUAGAACAAACUAGCUAACAGCUAUUGCAAUUCAUAUAUAUUCUGAAUUAUUUUAUUAGAUAAGUAAACAAAUAAAAGGAACAUAAUAUGCUUGUCUUCCUAUAUUGUAGGUGAUCAUUUUUAUUGAGGUACAUAAUGAACUACCUCACCCUCUCCUCCCAAAACAGACUGGCUAGCAUCUGCUUGAUUUAUAUGCUGUGACUUUUUCCUGCUGUUUUCUAUCAACAUUAAUUGUGAAAAAUGGUGCCAUGUUGCCCUCUUGAUAUUAUUUUGGAGAUCGACUAGGUCUUAAAACAUCCAGAUGCAUACAGUUCUACACAUAUCUGUGGAAUUAGCUCACCGAGGUCUGCUCUGCAAUAUUUUUAAUUGACUUACAUGUUCUGUGGGAAAAGAAGAAUCAUAAAAAGUCUUUGCUAUUGCAUUCCAUUCUUCACUGGGAUCUCUCUUGGGACCUCGAUGGAUACUUGAGGUAUUCAAAGUGUCAGCAACUCUGUUAAUACUGGUAGAAUCUGAUUGACAAAAAGGAAAUGGUAACAACUGCAAUUCAUUUUCUAGGUACUAAUUUUAGAGUGACCAAACUUCUGGUUUAUCUCUGAUCUUAAGAACCACAAGUGUUUGUUUUAAAUCACAGAAUUUUUGUUUUGAUUUUACCUCAUUUAUACUUUGUUGUUUUUCUACACUUUGAUCUUACUGCCAGAAAUUCUGUUUCAAUAGCAGAGCAGCAAGAAUUAUUUUUUAAAUAGUUUCCAUUUUAAUAAAAAGUACUGUUUACCAUCAUUUCUUUUAUAUAAUGCAUUACAAAGAGUCCCAGUAUUAAAAUAAAAAGAUAUUUUUUGGUAAAUAAUUCCAAAGAAGAGGAAGUUACUCACCUUGUGGGGUAAUGAUAUUUCAUUGAGAUGUGACCCCCUAUAGGUGCUCCAUGGCAGGUGCACUUGCAUCCCUGCACUGCUGAUAGGAGAACAUUGGUGGCAGUGUUCAUUCAGCCUGCAUAUGCGCUGUCACCUCCUCAUGCUCUACCAGGAGGCCAACCAGCAUGCCCAGGUGAAUCCCGCUCGGUUCCUUCUCUACUGCAGAGUCCUUGACAAGAACUGCGAAGAGGGGAGGAGGGUGGGCCAUGGAGCAUCCCUAGGGACACAGAUCUCAAAGAACCAUCAUUGCUCACAAGGUGAGUAACUUCCUCUUCUUUGAGUUGUGUCCCUAUGGGUGCUUCACUGUAGAUGACUCCUGAGAAGUAUCCCUAAUGGGAAGCUGGGACUUUGGCGCUGUUAUGGAUGACAAUACUGCAGAGCCUAAUAUAGCAUUGGAAGCGGACUCCCCAGUAAUCACACAGUGUUCUGAGAAGGUAUGCACAGACUCUCAGGUUGCUGCCCUGCAGAUUUCCGAUAUGGGGACAUUCUUGAGGAAGGUGAUAGAGGAGGAAACAAACCUCGUGGAGUGUGCAUGGAUUCCGGACACUAUGUUGUGAACCUGAUAACAGUGUUUGAUACAGUUUGAGACCCAUUUGGAGAGUCUCUGGGUUGAUAUCGUUGUACCAUUAGAUCUUUCCGUAAUGGAAAGGAAAAGAUUAGAUUUCCUAAAGGCCUUUGUCCUGGCCAGGUAAAAGGCCAGGGCUCUCCUAACAUCUAGGGUGUGCAGUAAAGCCUCCCUGUUAUCACAGUGAGGAUUAGGGUAAAAUUUUGGGAGGUGAAUCAGUUGGUUUAUGUGAAAAGAUGAGGUCAUCUUGGGGAUGAACUUCAGGUGCAGUCUGAGAGUAACCUUGUGCCGAAAUAAUAUAAGUGGGUGGGGGUGCCACUAGUGCUGCUAUUUCCCCUAUUCUCCUUGCUGAGGUGAUCUCCACCAGGAACACUGUCUUAAUAGGCAGGUAUGUGAGCUAACAAGUGGCCAUGGGUUCAAAGGGUGGUCUAGUCGGGCUCUUUAGUACUAAGUUUAGGUCCCAUAUUGAGGUGGGGCAUCUAGAUUGGGGAAAAAGAUUUGCUAUAUCCUUAAGGAAUUGUUUUGUAGUUGGGUGAGAGCACUGAGAAUCCCUCUAUUUGUUCAUAGAAGGCUGCUAUGACUGCUAGGUGAACUUUGAACGAACUAAGAGAGGGUACUGAUUUCUUGAGUCAGUAUAUGCUCCUGUACCAUUGGGAGAGUAGCAGAUGGGGAAAUUUGCUUGGAAUUACACCAAACCAGAAAUCUAGUCUGCUUUUGCAGGUAAGUAAACAGGGUAGUCCAUUUCACACUAUGUAGUAACACUCCCUGUACCUCUUGAGAGCUGGAUCUUUAUAUGUGCUGGAACCAUGAAGGAGCCACCCCUGAGUUGGAGUAUCCGCAAGUUGGGGUUGAGAGUGUUUCCUUCGUUCUGCGAGAGAAGGUAUGGAGAGAGACUAGCAGACGUGUUGCCAGCUGUGACAGGUAAGGGUAUCACGUCUGUCUCAGCUAGAUGGGAGCAAUCAGUAAAACAUUUGCUUUCUCUUUUUAUUAGGACUUUCAGCGAUAGAGGAAAUGGGGGAAAAGCGUAUAGAAGGCCCUUGUCCCAUGAGAGAAAGAGAGCAUCCCCUAAAGAGUGCUGACUGAGGCUUGCCCUGGAGAAGUAGCAUGGGCAUUACUUGUUCAGCUCUAGGAGGUAAUCUAGAACAACUGAGAGUGAAGAGUGAGCAGAUGAAAUACAUGUCUGGAUAUGCCAAAGGCUGAACCUUUUCCACCUGCGGAGGUAAGUAUAUCUCAUGGAAUCUUUUCUACUGUUCAGUAACACCUGUUGUACCUUGUCAGAACAAGUACACUAUUCCCAUGAGCCAUCAAGGGGUCAAGUUUUAAGACACAGAAUCUUCAGGUUGGGGUGAAGAAUCCAAUUGGAUCUUGGGAAAGAAGAUAAGGAAUGGAUGGAAGGCUAAUUGCCUGACAAAUGGCUAAGUGAAUCAUGUAAGGAUACCAUAUAUGUCUGGGCCACACUGGAACUAUUAAUAGGAUCCUGGGUUUGUCCUGCUUGAUUUUAUUUAUCAUUUUCAGAAAUGGGGGUUGGAGGAAGUACAUAUAGCAAGCCUCUUGUCCGUGGAACAAGGAAUGUCUCGUAAAGAGAGAGGGCCUAAGACCCUCCUUAAGCAAAAGUGUUCGCAUUUCAAGUUGUUGGUAACAGUAUCAGAGGUCUAUUUCUGGUACUCCUUAACUCAGAAAGAUUUCACUGAGAAUCUAAGAAUCCAAAUCCGAAACGUAGUCCUGGGAGAAGUGCCUGCUGAGAUUGUUGGCUAUUCUGUUUUGUAUCCUUGGGAGGUAAGCUGCUGAGAUAAGGUUGAAAUUGGCUGUGCACCAGUUCCAGAGCUUUUUUGCUUUGGCGCACAUGGAAGAAGAGCUGACUCUUCCUUGUCAGCUGAUACAGAACAUGCAUGUUCUGUUGUCCAUCAGGACCUUUAUGGACCUAUUUCUGAUUAAAGGCAAAAGGAUACAGACAUUCCUGACUGCCCACAACCCAAGUAGGUUGGUGUGUAGUCAUGUCUCUUGGGCAGACCACUUGCUCUGAGUUGUGUGGGUCCCCAAAUGCACUCCCCACUCAUCAGAGAUGUAUGUGUCUUGGUGACAGAAGGGAGGAGGUAGAACAAAUGGAAUCCCCUCACAGACAUUGUCAUGGUCUUUCCACCGGUUGAGAGAAUCUUGUACUUGAGGAGAGACUGACAUGACACCAACUUGGUCAGGGUGUGGUUUGUUUGUUUGUUGUUUUUGUUUUGUUUUUUGGAGUAUAAACAGUCCCUGAGCUAGCUCUGGAAACAUCGAAGGCAGAAACUGUCAUGUUGCAUCACAAAGGUGCAAGUUGCCAUGUGUCCGAGCAGUUGAAGACAAUUUCUUAUAGAUGUCUGUGGACUGAUUUGAAUCUUUGAGGCUUAAAGUUGAUUUCUCGAUAUUGAGCUGCAAACCUAGCUUGUGGAACAGGAACCUUGACAUCUUUGUGGUGGUGAAAACCUCAUCGAUCCUUGAGUAGCCAGUCAUCAAGGUACAAGGAAAUAAUUGCCAAACAUUAAAAGGCAUGCAAAUCCCAAGGAAUCUCAAUGUAUCCUUAAAGGUGUGCAACCAUUCAUCAGUGGCUUCAGCGAACGGUUUGAGACCAUCGAAGAGAAGGUGCUCAGAUGUCCCCUGGGAAUUCAGCCAGCUGGCGCUGGACUGAGCAGCAGUGUAGGCCAUGUCAAAUGAGGCCUGCAAAGAUGUUCUAGCUAAUAGUUGGCUCUCAUAGAUAAUAGCCUGAAACAGCUCUCACUGUUUAGCCAACUCAAUAAAGGUGAUACAUUUGGCAUAAUUUGAGCGAUUGUGCUUUGUCUUGACAGCUUGAUAAUUUGUGAUCCUAAAUUGAAGAGUCAAGUAGGCCUUUCUGCCAAAUAGAUGGACAUUUUUGAUAGGGCAUGGCUUUCAUGUGGUAUUGUCUGUCAUAUUCAUUGUCUCCACAACCAGGAAGUUUGGUGUUGGAUGGGUGAACAAAAAUCUGUAGUCCUUAACUGGGAUGUAAUAUCACAGGGGUAUGCCAGAUGGAUUUGGUGGGACUCAACAGGGCCUCACUGAUAGGCAGGGCAACUCGGGUAGAGGGAAUCCAGUGAAGGAUAUCCAGGAGCUUAUGCUGCAACUCUGACCUCUUCCAAGGGAAUCUUUAGGGAAUUUGCAAUGCAUUUCAUUACUUCAAACACUUCCAGUAGUUAAUCAGCUGUAGAAGAUGAAGAAAUAUUUAUUUGCAGAGUAGCAUCUUUAUCUGCCCUGGCUCGCUGGACUCUGGUGCCUGAGGUAGUGGAGGAGGGAUAGGUGGAGUAGGAGAAAGUGGGGACUACAGAGGGAGACACGAGAGAGUAGGGGCAUGGGAAAUUUAUCAAUAUGCAGCCCAAGGAUCCCGGUAUGGUUCCAAAUAUGGUUACUAGAGGCAAUGUGAAAGGCACUGGUGCUCAAACCAGGCUGGGGGGGGGGGGCCCAGGCUUGUCUUUGAUGGAACUUCCCCUUUUCUCUAAAGUGUCAGGAGGGAAUUCCCCUAUCUGAUGAGUAGGGGAAUCUUGGACUGAUAUGGAUCCCAUAUGGACUAACCUGCUAGUUACCCAAACACACACACUUACUUAACUACUGGUCUGGACUGCCCCCUAGCUUGCUUUGGCCAUCGGGAAUUAAAGCACCGUAUGAAGCCUGGAGAGGUUGGCAUACUCUGCAGAAAGAGUUAUCUUGAAGGGGGAAGGUCCACCCCCUAAAAAUGGGAAGGGAUGAAACCCAUCUGAAACUAGUACCAUUUCUGGACUGAUCGGAAAGGCUGUGUAAUGGGAAGCAAAAGUGUGAUGACCAAGUCACUGCUUUACAAAUGUCUAGAAUCGGCACUUGUGUCAGGAAAGCUGCAGAAGAUGCCUGCGCUCUAGUAGAAUGUUCCAACGCUCUACCUGGUAGGAUGGUAUUAGCUAGCUAGUGAAUAAGUGAAUGACCAAAGAGAUCCAGGAAGAGAUUCUCUGAUUGGCCCUUAGCUCUCUAACCACUACAGACAGUUGCGUAGAGGAUCUGAAAGAUUUAGUAUGCUUCAGGUAGAACACUAAAGCCCUUCUGACAACUGAAGCUUUCCCUCAUCCCUAUGUGUAUGGGGUUUCAGAAAAAAAUGAAUAGAUUGCUUGGUUAACAUAAAAAUUGGAGACUACUUUUGUAAGAAAUUUCAGUGAAGAGUGACUAUAAACUUUAUCUUUCUGGAAAACUGUAUAGAGAGGUUCUGACACCAGAGUUCUCAACUCACCUGCCCUUCUGGCUGAGGUAGCUGCCAUUAUAAAAAUGCCACCUUCAUAGAGAGGUGAAGAAGGGAGCAAGUUGGAAGGAGUCUGAAAGGAUGUCCCAUCAAUUUUGCUAGGACUCAGUUCCAAUCCCAAGGAGGGAUUGGGUCUUAUACUUGAGGCUACUAUCUGGCCAAACCCUUUAGGAAUUGGGCGAUGACGGAGUUGGGGGAAAAAAAGGAUCUAUUAUCCACCCAUAUGUGGAAGGCUGAAAUAGCUGCCAGAUGCACCCUUAGAGAGCUAAUAGCCAAAUGCUGUUUUAGAUUUAGAAGAGUCUAGUAUGAGGUCCAGGGUGCUCGUUCUGGAGAUACACAUUUCCUCCGAGAUCAAAUAGAGAAGUGCUUCCACUUAACUAGGUAUUUCUAGUUGAGGGUUUUCUGCUAUUCAGAAGCAUGUUUUGAAUGUCUUUGGAGCAGGACUUUUCUGUGGGCAUCAACCAUGAAGCAUCCAUACUGUUGGAUGGAGAGUUUGGAGGUUGGGAUGAAGCAGGCACCCUUGGUCCCAGGACAUUGUCUGGGUCCAACAGGAGGGACAGAAGUAGCUUGACCAACAGGAAAAACCUACUAUAUGCUCAGUAAAUUUCAGACUGUUCUUGGAUCAUUAUGCUGGAGAAAUGAUUGAAUAGAGCAAAACAAGUUUAAAUUGUUUAGAUUAAGUGGAAUGCACAGCAGGACUGCAAACGUUGCCAAAGCAUCUUUUCUUCACUGAUAUAUUUACAAGAAAUAAAAGGUUUUGCAACCAUUAAAUGCUCCUUAUUUUUAUCAGCAGAUUUUCCUCUUGCUCAGUAUGUUGAUCUUUCUGAGGAAGGUGGCAGUCUUGGAGAUGACCAUAAGCUUCUUUAAGUGAUACCAGCACAUUUUUAAUAGUAUCCAUUUCUCUUCUCAAGUCUUCCUCCUGUAAUCAUUGAAGGGUCACAGAACAAGUGAACAUACCAAUAUUUUUGCAUAUGGAAACCCAAAAGAUAAUUUUUACAAUCUAUCAACAGUUUCUCAAAUUAAGAUAAACUAUAAUAAAAAAGUAAAACAUCUGAAACCUCACAAUAGAAGUAAAUGACAAGACAGUGUCUCUGAAUGCUAUAACCCAAACCAGCCAAUUUUCUUAUCCCCUUCACUCAGGGUAUGUCUACACUGGAAUAAAAGACUCACAGCAUGGUCAUGGCUGGCCUAGGGCAGCUGAUGCAGACUCAUGGAGCUAGAAAUUGCUUUUAGACAUUUGGGAUCGGGCUGGAGCCUGAGCACUGGGAGCCUCCCUCCCCGCCCCCACCCCCUGCCGAUCACAAGGUCCCACAGCUCAGGGUCCAGCCCAAGCCCAGACAUCCACACAGCCAUUUUACUGCCUGAGUGCCCCACAUGCCUGAGUCAGCUGACCCAGGUCAGCCCAGGUAUUUAAUUGCUGAGCAGACAUACACUCAACACACAGAUUUUAGACACAUUUCCGUCAUCUCUUACCCUCUUCUUGCUCUAGCUUGGGUUUUGGUCACCAUUUAUUCCAUUUUGUAAGACUCAAAUGCAUGGACAGUAGUAACUGUGUUUGUUAGGUUUCAGAGUGGUAGCCAUGUUAGUCUGUAUCAGCAAAAACAAUGGAGUCAUUGUGGCACCUUAGAGACUAACAAAUUUAUUUGGGCAUAAGCUUUUGUGGGCUAAAACCCACUUCAUCAGAUGCAUAGAGUGAAAAAUACAGUAAGCAGAAUAUAUAUUCUAGCACAUGAAAAGAUGGGAGUUUCCUUACCAAGUGGGGGUGCUAAUGAGCCAAUUCAAUUAAGGUGGAAGUGGCCUAUUCUGAACAGUUGGGGUGAAUACCAAGGGAGGGAAAAUUACUUGGUUAGAGUCUGUCUUUUAUUCCACCCUAAAGUGGAAUGGAGGUUACCUACCUGUAAGAGUUCUUCAAGAAGGGCCAUAUGUAUUGAUCAAGGGAAAGCCAGGAUAGAACUAUAAAAAAGACUGUUGAUGGUUUGCCAUGUUUUCAUAAAUACCUUGAAAACAUGAAAAGUUUAUUAUCUUACCCCAAAUUAUUUCUCUUCCUCAUUUGUAUGUAUAAUAUCUCAUAUUAUAAUUGAUUUGUUAUUGCAAAUUUACUGCAAAGUUGCUGUUACUGAGUUUUUUUAGAAGCCAUUGAAUAUUUGAUUAAAAAUACAUAAAGUAGUACCACUAAAAACAAAUAUGGAAGGUAGGUCAGUAUUUAAACUGAUUGAUCUGGAUAAAGUUUCAUAAUUUCAAUUUAUAGGGGGUUACACUAGACUUUUAUAAUUUCAUGUAUAAUUUAUAAAUGAUUUUUUUGAUGCACAGGAAUACAAUCUAGAAAAUGUAAAUGGUAUAUUUUGUAAUAGUUUAGGUACUAGGACAAGGUUUUGUAAUAGAAAUAUAAUUCAGCCAAUGUAAAUGCAAAAUACAUUAGUGCAGUGGUCCUCAACCAAGAGUCUGGUUGGGACCAGGGCCCCAUGUCCUGCUACCCAGUGCUGAGGCCUAAGCAACUUAGCUUCGCGGGGUCCCCUGUGGCAUAGGGCUCGGGCAAUUGCCCUGCUUGCUACCCCCUAAUGCUGGCCCUGGCUUUUAUAUACAGAAAAAUAAUUGUUGUGGCAUAGGUGGGCCAUGGAAUUUUUAUCGCAUGUUGGGGAGGCCUCAAAAAGAAAAAGGUUGAGAACCCCUGGUAUUCGUGCAUGCUAAGCAGGAGUGGUUCUACCAAUUUUGCCACCCCAAGCAGUCGCUGCCGAAUUGCUGCUGCCAUGGUGGGAAGAGUGGUGGAGCUGCUGCCAAAUUGCUGCCGCAUUCUGAAUGCUGCCCCAAGCACCUGCUUGGAAAGCUGGUGCGUGGAGCUGGCCCUGAUGCUAAGGAAACAUCUGGAUACCUCAGAUGUAAGCAGUGAUUGACAAAAGCAUAAGUCUGGAACUGCAUCUAAGUGCUAAGGUUAAAUUAAAAAACAAACAAAACAAAAGCCUCCAUUUGGCCUGUGUGGUGUAGGCCCAAAAAAGAUGGAUGCCCAGCCUUCUAAAAUGCAGAAGUCAAAUGGAGUUUCUACUAAAUCUACCUUUUAAAAUAUUUUUUGACACAGAUUUGCAGUGUCCAGGAAAGAAAAUAUUUUUUUUUCAUACAUUAUUUUUGCAAAAUUUUCAUGGGUUUUAGGAAUUAUUUGAAAUGUCUGACUAUUUCAAAACCCUUUUAAUAUACUGACAAUUAAUUUAUUAAACUUACAUCUUUUUUCCAAGUUCUUAGUGCUUUCUCAUGCUCAUUCUGAAGAUUAAGGAACUUUUCUUCAUUUUCUUUUGCCUUCUCCCUUUGCAGCUCAUUAUCUCUUUCAAGGGUCUGCAAUAAAAUUAAUUAUCCAAAAAAUAAUCAAUAUCACAUUAAUGAAUUUUGAUGUGUUUUAUGUUGCUUGGACCUUUGCUUCUAACAUGCUGAAAGUGCCAUACAGAUCAGUGAUAAUGUGCUCACUCAACAAUAAUUUUCAUAAAUUAACAGAAAGGUGCUUAUAGUUUAGCUAACAGGAAACAGGGGGAGGUUAUGAAAAAGAAAUGGCUAUAAAAGGGUAUAAAAACACUUGCCAUUAUUCAGUUUCACUGCAUAAGUUUUAAUGUGCUGAAAAAGUAAUAUGAAGUGUAGAGCUGAGAAAUAUGAAAUGUAGCACAAUCAAAUCCCAGUGUACUUAAAGAAAAAGCUACAAUAUAACCAAAGAAAAUUUUUGUCUUUUGUUAUCACAGCAUAUACUCAAACUUGCUUAAUAACCUUUUCUAUAAUUUGCAUGGUUUAAUUUAAAAUUGUAAAACACAUCUGUUGGUAUGUCAAAUAUUUAGUGUAUGUCCGAUUGCCCUUUAAUUUAUUUUUAUUGGUUUACUGAAAUUGAAUAA